CAAAAGAUGGUACAGAUGCGCUGUAUUUAGGUGUUAAUCAAAGUUCUUAAACAUUAUUUAAUAAAGCUGGAUUGCCCCUGAAGAUGCUAAAAAUGUUUUAGCGAAACGUUGGGCCAGAAAGUGGAA